AAAGGAAGAAAGAGAAGCUCAGAGGUGGAAGGAGACCUGAAGGAGGAGGAGCACAAAACAAGAAGUGGAGCCAAGGGGAGUCAACACUGAGCAAUUCCUUUCGCAAUAAACAAAAUCUACUGGCUGUGACAGACAGCACAUUGUCCAGCCCCAGUUCAAACCCAGCCACUGUCCAGCCCCAGUUCAAACCCAGCCAUGGCACCCACUUCUCAGCUGAACGGAGGAAAAGGGAUUGCUUUGAUUUGGGUCCAUUGUGAGUACAUUGAGCUCAAUAUGGCUAAUCCAAGAUAAUCUUCAGAUCUCAAGAUUCCUAACUGCAGCUGCAAAGUCCCUUUUUCCAUGUAAGGUAACAUAUUCUCAGGUUCCAGGAAUUGGGAUGUGGACAUCUUUGGGAGAGUGAUUAUUCAGCCUCCUGGAGGAAUGUAAAGGCAUUCUGGAAAAACCUGAUUCUCAUUCCAAGGUCAACUUCAGGUCACCACAUUUUGUACUUAACUCUCAAUUUGGGAUUCUUCUUAGAGUAAUUCAGGACAUCAUGGAUAUAAAUUUUAUUCUUUGUUUUGGAUAUCAAAUAUCAUCAUAACUUAAGGCCAAAUAAUCAGCUCACUUGCCUGGAAGCAUGUUUAUGGAAGCAAUUCAACAACUGAGAAAGAUUGGUAAUGCCAGAGGAAGUGGAACAAUAAUUCCUCCCUUUUAUUAAUAUCAGAUAACAGCCUCCACUCUGUGCUAAACACUCUUCUGUGCAAAAUAGGAAGCACCAAAGAAGAAAACUCUGCCUUCACUGAGCUCUGGAAGAGGUGGAAGAGAUGGGAGACUUACAGUUACAUGCUGACCUUUUCAGUCAUUUGGAGGCCUCAUGUUCUAGGCUCUUAACUGAUGGUGAUGAAGCCACCAACAGGUGUGAAAGGUGUCCUCUUAUUUACACACUAUUCCUUUGAAUAGUGUGAUUAAGUUUUCAUUCUUACAGUUCUAUGCUACGACCAAUUUGAUAAAAGAUUCUCAUUUAACCAUGCUGUCUUCAUAUAUGUAAGCUUCCUUGAUAUCUAAAGAGUGUGAGCUCCUGAGCCAAGUCCAGUGGAAAAUUUGCAGUCUCUUCUAGGAUUAGAUGAAGACCCAAGAAUUCAUCUUGCUACAGUGCGACAAGACUUGUCACAGAUAGCUUGGAUUUAUGGGUGCUCUUCCACAGCAGAAAUCGUUUCACCUUUUCAGGUGACCUUUACAGAAUCAUAAAAUCAAUCAGUUUUAUUUGACAUCCAAAUCAGAAUGCUGCCCUAAAUAGAUUGCUAGCACUUUACCUGGAGAACAAAAUAGAGGAAAUAGGAAUGUGCCCAGGGCUAGGUGGAAGACAGCCCCGGAACAAGAGUGCUACUAUUUAAAGUCCACACACAGGACUCAGUGAACAGAGCUCCUUAAGCACUCUGUGGCUGGGGUCACCCUGGUUACCUCUGCUCCACUGCCCGUGAUCCUGGUGGAUACCACAAAAACAAGCUCUUCACCCUCAUCUUGAAAUGGACUAAUGAAAAUAAAGUGGCAGACCUGUAUUAGUCCGUUUUCACUCUGCUGAUAAAGACAUAUCCAGGACUGGAUAAUUUAUAAGGAAAAAGAGGUUUAAUGGACUCACAGUUCCACGUGGCUGGGGAGGCAUCACAAUCAUGGUGGAAGGCAAAAGGCACAUCUUACAUAGCAGCAGGCAAAGAGAGAAUGAGAGCCGAGCAAAAAGAGUUUCCCCUUAUUAAACCAUCAAUCUCAUGUGACUUAUUCGCUACCAUGAGAAGAGACUGGGGAAACUGCCCCCAUGAUUCAAUUAUCUCCCAUAACACAUGGGAAUUAUGGGAGCUACAAUUCAAGAUGAGAUUUGGGUGGGGACACAGCCAAACCAUAUCAAGACCCAGAAUGAAUUUUACAUAGGUCCAUCCUCCUUUCUAUCCUGUUUGACUUGCUGACUGCAGGAAUCUAGGUAGACUUGGUUGGGAAAAGGGGCAUAAUUCUAAAUGUAUUCCCUGUAGGCAGAUGGCAUAUAUUUGGCUUGGUUUCAACUCUAAAUGAUUUAUGUAAUGAGGAUAUCAAGAAAAGUGUAUGAAGUAUGACAGUGUGUGUUGUAUAUUGUAUGUACACAUGAAUAUAUUUAGGUAGCUUCAAAAAAAUUUUUUUACAGCUCUAAUGAUUUUGCAAAACUGUCUUCAAAGGAAUUUAAUAAGCUGAGAAACCAAUAUAAUAUAGUAGUUGCCAGCAAAGAUUCUGGCACUGUCAGCUUUCAAAUUCCAGUUCUAUAACUUACAAAUGGUGUGGCUUUUGGCAAGAUCCCUAACGACUCUAUGCCUCUAUAGUUAUGUUUCCUUAACAAUAAUAGCACUUGCCUUAUAUAUGAGAAUUACAUGAGAUAACGUAUAAGCUCCAAUAAUUUCUGGCUUAUAGGAAGUGUUAUAUAUGAACUACUAUUACACUUAAGUGGGCAUAGUUGAACUCUGGAGAAAGAGCUAGGGUUGAAGUGGGGAGACAGUCCUGUGCAAACUGUGAGAUCAGACCAACCUACAUUUGAAUUCCAGUACUUCCACUGUACAACUUUGGGUGAGUUACUUACUCAGUAUAAAACUGCCUUUGCAAAAAUUAUGUCAGUGAGAAAAUUAUGGCAAUGGAGGAGAUUUGAUCCAGCUCCUCUCCCUCUUGUCUUUAGCCUUCAAUCUGCCAAGAUAGCUUUGGGAGACAUGUUUAUAGUUUAAAUGAUAAUAAGCCUUCUCAAAAACUUAACCACCUAUGUAAAGCUAAUAAGAGACCACCAGGCUAGGGAGAGGAGAGGAGCCUGAAUUCUGCUAAACUGUAGACAUGAACAAUUGCCAGCCAUUAUUCCAGAGGUCCUGCAGAUAACAUCACUAUUGUAGAACCUGAGAUUGGCCUUUUGAGAAUUUUUUUCUCAGAUUUUUUGCAUGUCUGAUACCCAUGGCUCCACCUGGAUCCACCAACCAGUGGCUUCUGUGCCCCCACCCAGAAGCAACUGAGUGCAAGAGAACAGCUUCAGCUCCUAUGAUUUCACCUCCAACCCAACCAAUCAGCAGCAAGCACCCACUGCCUAGCCACCCCCAAACUUCCUUUGUAAAAUCCCUAACCUACGAGCUUUCCAUGAUAUUGAUUUGAGUAAUAAGUCUAUAUCCCUGCGUGGUGUGGCUGGAUUCAUGUCAAUUAAACUCUCUCUACAGCAAUGCUGUCAUCUUUGUUUGUGCAACUGGCAGGGAAACUAAUUGGGCAGUUACAAGUAUGGGAUACUUAUGUUCCAUAAUUAUUACUAAGAGUUUUAAAUGAGAUAGCACAUGUGAAGCACUUAGCAAAAUGACUGGUUCACAGUUAAUAAUAAAUGGGAGUGGUAAUUAUCAGUAUCAUUCACACAUAUACACAUGCUUUACAUAUAAUCACAAGCUUACAUAUAAUUCUUGUCUUUCAGCAUGUAGAAUUUAAGAUGAACUCAGGCAAGUAAGGAAAUUGACAUUCUAGUCACAAAAAACUGAAAGGGGUCAAUGUAACCCUAUGAAGUGCAGUGUCAGAAUGACCAGAAUUACCACUGUUAAGAUGAUAAUAAUUUCAGUCAUGCAGUAAGGUGAUGGUUGUUUGGAUGAAGUCACAAUGUAAGUAAAGGAUGACGAGAUCCUUUUUUAUUAGCAACUGGAUCUUUUUCCCAAAAUGCACUAAAUUGAAGCCAUCACAUUUGGAUUAAAGUCAAGAAAUCAAGUGCAGCAUUGUGAGUUCCAUGACGAAGGGCCACAUCAAGCAUUGUGGCAGCAUUGUAGGGAAAUAACCUCCCAGGAAACCACCUCAUCAUCAGUUAAAUAAAAUGAUGGAGCUCCUUUUAAGCAUACAUAUUAGACAAGGUUUGGAAAGAUUGGCACAGUCAUAAAUGGAAGGGCAGGCUGCAAGAGUAGUGUAUACUUUUCAACUUGACCUUCUCACCCAUACAACCAUAAGCCCUGGGAAGGAGGAAGAUCUUCAAAUGCGAAAGACUAUUAUGUGGUCAUUUCUGAAUUCAUGAUGCCAUUUAGAAACACAAAACGCUUUCAGAAUAAAACAUUUGGCUUCAGCCAGCUUGAGUUUUCUCAGAAAACUAUGAGAUCAGAGAAAUCUUGCUUUUGUGAAAUUUCCAACCAAUCUGCCUCUGGUUGGGGACACAUGGAGGAAGUAUUCGAAAACUGAUAGAUAGAAAUUAAACCAUCCAUUUUUCAAGCCCUUCUUGUCACCACUCUAUGUCUGGUGUCCAGCAGAGUGUCUGAAACACUAUUGCAUUAUUUGGUUUUUCAAUCCACUCUUGGAGGAUCUGAAUGUAAGAAAAUGGAACCACCUGAGUUGAUUAGCCCCUUCGUUUCAUUUGACAAAGUAGUGUCCAGUAAGAACUACAAGAACAGAGUAAUCAAGUAAGAGUUACCCCAGAUUAUGGAGUAUUCAGCAAUCUGACUUGGAUACAUCAAUAAGAAGUUAUUGGUCCCUAAAAUGGCUGUUGACAGGGAGGCUGUGUAGAGGGCAUCUCUGAGCACACCCUGUACAUUUCUGAAAGAAAUCCAGAAAUGAGAAGCCAUGCGACAAAGGGGGGAGUAGACGACCUUUGCCCACAAAGGACACAGCUGCAGGUCUAGGCUCCAGCACUUUCUGUCUUUGGUGAUUUGGGACACCUUCUGUAACCUGUCUAAAUUUCAGAUACCUCCUAUGUAACAUGGUGAGAAUAGUAAAAGGUCCCCAAGAGGCUUCUGAGAGAUCAGAUGAGACAAGGCAUGAGAAAGCACUUUGUAAAUUGCUGAAGUGCCACAGAAAUGUUAUUAAAUUUACUGUUUCUGUAAAACAUGACUUGGCAGUCCUUGAAAAAACACUGCACCAUAUUCUGUUCUAAAUAAAUGCAGAUAGAAAAUUGGGACCCUGAGUGAUUAUUUGUUUACAUUAUAUUGGUAUCUCUUCAUUAUGCUUAAUCAAUUCAACAAAUACAUAAAGUGCCUAUUGCGUGCCGGGCACUAUUUAAACACUGGGG
rnacentral:lncRNA from 10 species